GCCCAGAUGAGCGCCAGUGGUCUGACGUGCGGGCUUCAAACCCGUAGUAGAUGUGAGUCUGAGUGGUUCGAUUCCUCCUUCUGGGAG